UGUGCGAGGUGAGUGGAGUAUUCUGGCAGGACUAGUAGACCUCCAGGCAGGGAGUUCCACAUGUACUUGUUUCUCGAUAUGUGGGAAAACACACGGUCCUUAAUGAUCUGGGGGAGGAACAAAUUGAAAUGUCAUUGGGAAUGCGGUCAGUGCAAAUGCAACAUAAAACACAUUACUGCACCAUGUUUUUCGUUUGCUUCCCUGUGAUCCACACAUUGUAAUUCCUACUUGAACCAACAGGAGGUGACCAAGAGGCAACAUCCAAAGGCGCCCCGCCAUGAAUCCCAGUGCUUCGCUGACCUCAGGCUGACUGCACAGCUGUCUCUCCCAUGGGGAGAGGUCCCCCUUCAGCUUGCUGAUUAUGAGUGAUUCUUCAUCUAAAAGGCAAUCUACGAACAUCCUAGAAGUCGGCAUCCUAAUGACAGCAGACCUUGUACGAGGGAUGCGCAGCACCACUGAUGAGGUCAAGCCGUUCAACGUAAUGGGGCCCCGAUUAAACAUGUCUCCCCCUCAUCAGCACAGGCAGGUAGGGGCCGUGCAAGCCGGUGCUUUUGAGCCCAAGCUGGAUUAAGACCCCUGCAGUUAAUCACGGCGGCCCGACAUGCAGCCACACCAUUUGAUAAAGGUGUUUGCGGGCCAGAUAAAAUGAUGUCGCGGGCCAGAUCUGGCCCCCGGGCCUUGAGUUUGACAUCUCUGACCUAAAACAUGAAACGUGACUGUGGAGGGCGGCGUGGCCUGCGGGCCUGCCGCGGAACGGGGUGUGCAAGGACCGGCCUCGAAGACAGCGACAGGU